UGCCCGGUGGUGUAAUGGUAGCACAGCUGAUUUUGGUUCAGCUUGUCGAGGUUCGAGUCCUUGCCGGGCAGCCA
rnacentral:tRNA from 2 species